CCUGCUCCAGCACCAUACGAUCAUUCCGUUGAUGAAAGAGAGCAUACCGUGCAACAAUGGAAAGAAUUAAUCUAUCAAGAAGUUUUAGAAUAUGAACAAACUCACAAUACGUUGGGUAUCCGACCUAUGGGUUCUCAUCUAAAUUCACAAGCAGAUGGUGUGAUCGAAAUCGACAGCGAAGUAGAUGGCUUAGUUGAUCAGUCCACUAAUGGUCCCAGCAACCCUUUUAACAGACGAAGAUAAGUCCUGAAUUUUCCACUCUUCCUCAGGUUCAAGCCGCAGAGAAUAAAAAAAAGUAUACCAGUACUGUUUUAUAAGGGUAACCCACGUUUUGAACAUUAUUUUACACGGUUACAGUUGCAGAAACUGGAAAAAAUCUUAUGAAAAAUUCAAGUAUAGUGACGAAGAGGUUGGCUGGUAAUCCUGGAAAAGCUCAUCAGGUAUCAUUCACAAAAUAUAAUCAUUCCUUUCAUCUACUUUAAGUGAUUUAGACUUCGGAAUUUUAAGUAAACCUUCCGACUUUAUUAGGAAUAUUACUUAACUUUGUGCCAGAAAAUGCAGUCUUCUUUUUAAUAGUGUUAUGAAUCGUUACAAAAGUCUCUAAAAUGAUUUUACCAGUCUAGUGCUUAUCGCGGUUGCACAAUAUUAUAUAGUCAUGAAAAUUCAGUUCUUACAAUAGAGGUUUCGAACAAGCUUAGAAUGAUUAUUUUACAUGUAAAUGAAAAACAGUUAGUUUUCAGAAAGAAAAAGUGCACCAUUUAUUAUGGUUAAAAUUACGAUAAGCUGUAGUAAUUUAUAUUUUAAAUGAUAAAAAGAAUAAAGAAGCGAUUUUUGUGUUCUAAUUUUAUGUGAUAUAAGAAAGAUAUUUUUGUGUUGUUCUAUUUUUAUCUAAGAAAAGAAACAAAUUCUUAUAUCCAGAGACUGUCAAGAUUUUUGUAAAUUUUUCUAUUUUUGUUUAUACAUCAUCGAUUUUGUGAAUUAUGACAACCACAAAUAGUGAUCGUUUACAGUUAUAUUUUCUUGUGACUGAAAAUUUAAAAAUUAUUUGGUGCUGAUUGUAUAACUUUGAUAAUGGACAUUCUAAGCGCUUCAGGAACAUAUUUGCAGUAAUCGCCGAGUCCUGAUAAAUUGCGAAGUUACAUGAAUGUUUCAAUGAUAAUGAUUUGAAUUAAGACGUGUGAAGUGUGUAUAUUUCUUUAGAAUAUUAGAAAUAUCUAAUUUUAUUUUCAUUCUCUCUACUAGAAUAUAAAAUAUUGCAUAAAAACAUUUUAAAAUAUUUGCGAACAUUAUUUUACGAGUUUAAUUGUAAUUUUUUUCGCCGCAAACUUUACGAGUAUAAUUUUUGUUACUUUUAAUGUCUGAUGGAAAUACGAGCAGAUAUUCAUCAUUUUCAACUAAGCUACAACUAUCUGAUAAUGGUGGUUUUGGUAACAAUUGAUGGUAAAAAUUCUGCUUAAAAAACUGAAGGCACUGUAUAUUAGAUUACGGUGGCCGACACUGGAAUGUAGAGGUUAAAAGCAUUUACUGAAAAUAAAAAUUUUAAAUUAACUAGAUCUGCAGAAAUUUAUAAAAAAAGAAAUCUUGAAUCUUUAAAGAAUAUUUUUGGAAUAUAAACUAGCUCUUCUAAGUAAGUUUUUUUAAAUGCAUAAACAUUUCCUAAGAAAGAAAAAAGUCAAAAGGAAAAAAAUAAUUUGAUUAAGCAGUACGUUUCCUUUAUCUGAUAAAUAAGGAAUCAGACUUAAUAAUUAUACAAAUUCCGCUAAUAUUUCAUAAGAAACAGAUAAUAUUGUCAAACUCGGUUAUAUAAGAUUACAAAUGCUUUAAGCAUUUUAAAUUUUUUAACGAAAUUUGGUUUUUAACGAAGAUCUUUCAGCUGAUUUUUCGAUAUGCCCCCAAAAGUCAUUUAGAAUCAGCAAAAUUUUUAUUGCUGUUCUUGUUCACACCUUAAUCUGCAGUUCUUCAACAUGUGAAAGAAAGCAUGCAAAUGAAAUACAUGAAGUACAUUAAAUAAUCGAAAGUAAUUGCAUAUAAGUACCCUUUUCGAGAAUUAAAGUUGUAGCCCAUACUCCCUUUUGGCCUGUUAAUUUUUAUAUCAUCAAGCUCAGUUUAUUUAUCCAUUUAAUAAAUACUAUUUUAAUUAUAUCUGAUAAGAAGCAACUAUCAAUUUGAGGGAGAGACUUUUUUUAUGAUUAAUACCUUUUUACGAGAACGUGAUCUCAAGUAAUUAAUGUUAAUAUUUCUCCUAAACAUAUGUAUUUAUACAGCUUUUUGAGUUAAAUAACUGACCAAUAAAAAUUUUAGAUAAUUCUUGGAAUGUAGGGUAGUUGUGCAAUAAAACUAAACUAAAUCGAAAAUUUUUUCAUCUUCUCGUGAACUUUUCGAUUUAUUUUAGUUUAUAUUUUUUUAAAGCCUAACUACAUAAGGCUUUAAAGAAAAAGUGAAAUAAAAGGCUGAAAAUCGAGGUAGUUAAGUUCAGUCAUAAAUAAUAUUUUAUAUGGGAAGUUAUGUAUUUAAUCAAGUAACAAAAUUCUUUUUUGCUUAAUCAAAAUGGUUUAUUCAGUCAGUUUAGAAGAAUUCAUUAAAUAAAUAUAAAACAAUGCCAUAACUUUCGAUUGAACUAAAACUUGAUAUUAAAAUGGGAAACAUGUAAUUUAAUAACUCCGCUCUUUAAAAACGCACAUUCUGAUGUAUUUUAUUUACUUAAAUUGCUUUAUUUUUUCUACUUUAAAUUUCAGAAUUUUUUAUGUUUUAAUUAGUAUUUAUCUCGAAAAUGAAUCAAACUUACAAGCGGGUUUCUGUUGUUCUGAAACAAAUUCGUGGCGAUCGAUUUAGUAUUCAAAGCAGAGCAAUUUUGAGGGAAAAUACUGUAUUCCUGUAGAUAUUUUACCGCAAUUUCUUUCGCUGUAGGGAAAUUGAUAUGUCGAGCAUUUAACACAGUUUAAGGCGUUUAAGUACACUGUCCCCUAUUUAGCAUAGUUUUCUAAAAGAAUCAUUAGUUAGAGUAAUCUUUAUUUAACAAGAUGGAGAGUUUGCUUACUUCAAAUAGAACACAAAUCAAAAUUAACAAUCUUCGCAAGCAUUUUAACUGAAGUGUUGAAAUAACGAAAUUACAACAGAUUUAUAAGUUUUAAAUAGCUUCAAGCUUAUCUAUUAGGCAAUAUUACCAGGAGUAUAUUCUAAAAAGAAUGAAGCUCAAGUACAAAAGCCUUUUAAGACUUCCGCAUCGAAAAACAUAGGUAGAAUCCUCUCUCGCCAAUAUAUCGUUUAGCGCUCGUUUGUUUUUGAUGCUGCCGAGUUUCAUUAUGCAAAAGUGACACUAAUUUAUUCUAACAGGAAUCCCAUAGCCACAUACUUUAAAAUUAAGACAAAAAAUACGCCUAUUUGUCUAUAAAAACAGUUGUAUUGAUUUGUCUAUAAACGUUGGAACAACAAAAAGAAAUUUAGUGAAUUUUACUAUGAUUGCGUUAAUGCGUAUAUACACAAAUACUGUUCUCUCAGUACGUUUAAAAUAACUCGUUAUUAGAAUUCAUAGUUCAAAAUAACCGAGUUUGACAAACGCUAAAUGCUUUGUUCUCAUAUUCUGAAUGUAUUUUAAUUUAAGAAUUAAAUACUAUCAUAACAAUAUAUAAUUUUCAAGUAUUUAAAUGCAGUCUAAGCAGAAUAACUUUGCUCCUCUGAAACACAAAACAUUGAAAAAUUAACUGCUUAUGAACAAUCCUAAGAUUUCCAUAUUUUUAUACAUCUGAAAGAUGAAGUGUGAAAGAUAUUCCCUAGAUUUGAAAAUUAGUCAUUAAUAGUGCAUGAAACGAAGUACUUCCGGAGCAAUAAAUUUCAUUGAAAUGAUCCCCAAAAUUUAAUUAUAUCUUUUAAUAUUUUGCUCAAGAUUCGUAUAUAUAUUAUAGUAGAGGAGGUACGAAUGAUCUUUAUGUGUAGUUUUAGAUAACAAUCAUUUGAUGUCUUUCAAUAUUUAAAAAGCAAAACACUGUGGUUUCUCGUGAUUGUGUACAAAGCACUUCACAAGCUUCGUUGAAAACAAAGUUUUACUUUCAUUUUUAGUUGCAUCUUAAAGUAAAAGAUUUGUUUGUGUUAAUUAGGCAUAAUAAUAGUUAUAGAUUAUGCGUAAUUCGUUAAUUUAAAGAAAUAAAAACGAAAUCAUUUGAAUUUGCAGCAAAUGCAGCAACUUCGGCGUGGUCACUUGAAGAAUCGUUAGCAAGAUGUGCAUUACAAUUAAGUUGUAUCAUAUGCUCAAUAGAAUUAGAACUGAAUGCAAACGCACAUUAAGAUUUAUCUAGUUUAUUUUGUUAUAUUAAAUUUUUCGUGACAUUGCACAGUAGCGUUUCACAUUACAUUUGUAAUUUUAAAUCUAAACAAUUUUUAGUCAAAUAUUGGUUGUAAAUAGAAAUACCAAGAGAUAUAAAUAAAUAUUAAUUUUGUCAACCAGUGUUUCUCAAACAUCAUCUCCUUGAAGUCCCUAAAAAACAAUUUUAAAAAGUUCUAGCUGACCUCUCAGUGCAAGGAAAUAUUUGAUAACAUCCCUUACCGGUACACUCAUAUCGCUAGCACUGCUUUCUUAUCAAUAAUAUGUAUCAUAAUUACCCAGUUUGGGCACCAACUGCUACUACUGAGAGUUACGAUCUAGAGGGACGUUAUUGGUCCAAGGGACGCUAACGGAGGAUUCAGGAGCGAAAGAGCAGUGACACACUUGAAACAUCUGGCUACCUAAAUAUUUUUAAACACAUUUAAACAUUCACUUGAUUAUGCAAACGUUACACUAUGCAUCUUUAUAAAAACUAUAUUAAUCACAUCAGUCUACGCUCCACAUAUGUUAUUCCAAUACUGUUUUUGCCUUUUUUUAAUUCUAGACAUACAAAAUGUAAGUAUAAGUAAUGUUAGGUCUAAAAUUCUAAAAAUAUCGCCACAAAUGCGUACUUUCAGUGGUAUCUAAUAUGUGUUUUAGUAGCAAUAUAUGUUAUGCUACAGCAUGUGUUAUUGGGAGGACUUAAAAGAAUAUUUUGUCAAAGUUCUUUACAAUAAAUGACAGAAUGAUAAUAAUCUUUCUCAUUACAAUUCUUUCAAUAUUGCGUGAUGAGAUUUAAUUAAUAACUCUAUACAGUGCAAGUGCAAUAAAUACCCAAAACUUUCAUUCAAACAACAUCUAAUAUAUAACUGUUGCAAACAUGGGGGCUAUAAGCAAUUUUGAAAGGGAUGAGCAAACUGUUGAGGCGACGGACCAAAAAACAUUGGGAAAUAAAUAAAAAUGUUUAUGUGCUUGAAUAAAAAAAGGAAGGAAACGCGAAAAAUGCUGCAUAAAAUUUAGGCAAAGCUAAAUUUAACGAUAUUAAAAAUAAUGUUUCUAACAAGAUUAAAAAGAAAUAAAGAUGCUUAAUUCUAUGACAAGUGUUCUCAAAAAGGGGGAUUUUGCCCCUUAGGACGAAUCGGGAGGGGGAGCUUUCUAGGGGAAAGCAGUCUGCCUUUUAUUCAUUUGUUAAAUAUUUAGUUCUAGUUUACAAGGUAAAAAAUUACUUUAAUUGAUGUUUUAAUAUUUUCUAUAUUUUCCUUGUUUAAUUUAUAAAGCACAUUUAAAUAAAUGUACACCGUGCAUAAAAAAGGGGGCAGACAGUUCUAUAUCUCCCGUUCUACUAGGCCGAUUGACGAAAUUUAACUUGCGUUUUUCAUGUCUCGAAAAUGUGACUUAGGAUAUGUAAUAGAUUUAUAUACAGCAUAGUUUUAAU